UCAGGGAACUGGAGCAUUUGUGGAUGGGCCUGGUGCUGGAAAACACAUCCAAGCCGGUGCCAAGAAAGUCAUCAUCACUGCUCCUGCUAAGGGUGCUGAUAUUCCAACCUACGUCCUCGGAGUCAACGAACAAGACUAAGGCCAUGAAGUUGCCAACAUUAUAAGUAAUGCUUCUUGCACCACAAACUGUCUUGCUCCGUUUGUGAAGAUCUUGGAUGAAGAAUUUGGCAUUGUGAAAGGAACAAUGACAACUACACACUCCUACACAGGAGACCAGAGGCUUUUGGAUGCUUCACUUUCAUGUG